CUUCACUUCUUAGGAACCGUAAUGCUGGAAUGAAUGCGUGACUGCAUGCAAAGUCACUUCAGUCCUGUCCGACUCUUUGCGAUGCCAUGGACUUAGCCCUUCAGGCUCCUCUGCCAGUGGGCAUACUCCAGGAAAAACCUAGCAUCUGGUUGUUGAAGACUUUACAAGACCGUUCCUCAUUUAAGCCAAGUCCACUUAAUAAGCAUAUGGUCCUUCAGGAAGAUUAUUUUGAAGGACAAAAAGAUGCUGCUAACCAAUUGUGUUAACUUGAUCCCAGACUUACCAAUGUCCUGGAAAAUGUUCUACUCAAGGCAGCAAGUACACACAGAGCCCAAAUGAACUAUAAUUAAGGUGGCAAGAGACCAAGGAAAAGAGCAGUGUUAGUUCAAUUGUUUCCUUUGCACGGGUAACAGAUGGACUCCAAGGUCUAAUAACCCUUUUGUACUUCAGCUAAGGCUGACAAUGCGUCAUUAUACUCAGAUGGAAGCAAGAAGAAGGUGCCUAGCAACUUGGGCUUGGAAUGCCUAGGCUUUUGUCAAUUUACAUCAUAAUCUUAAUAUUAAACAGGCUUGCUCUCAUUUGCCAGUCAUCACCUCAUUUUAUGUUUUUCAAACACAAGAAGAUUAAAUAGUCUUUCUUGAAAGUACUUUAGCCCCUUAGAUACAGAACAGUAGUAGUAUUUAAGAGUCUCCCCUUAUAAAUGUGUACAUAAAACUGCCAUGAUCCUUGAUGGAAAUUAUAUCAGUAAGUUGGGGGGCCUACCAUGGGUAAUAUUUUCAUUAGCAACAGUAUGCACAUAACCCAGGCUCUUUUUGGAAUUCAGUAGGAUACCAAGGACUAUUUUUGGGGCCUCAUUACUCUUGUAUUCUUGUACUUUAUGUAUAUAAGAAGUCAUUAGAAUGUCUAUUUAAUUUUAUAUUCUCCUUUUUAAGCUCUAUUUGUCUAUAUUUUAUGAUGCAAAUAAAAUGUGUGUGUGUUGGGU